GUGCAGGUAUCUAUUUGAUCAGUGGUACUUCUCAUUUGUGAAGUGUGGAGCCUUCCCUGUGCUCAGUGGGGAAGACAGGGAGAGACAUUCAGUGUCGUGGAAGAGUCCUGCUCUGAAGAGCUAGGACUGAAUUUGGCUUUCAUGAGCCACUGCUCCCAAGUUCCCAUUUUAUUCCUCUGCAAAGACAAGAAAACGGCUCUGUUGGCUCUCUGAGUUUGUCCGGAGGAGCAUGUUGGAAAAUGGAUGUGUAAGCUCUCAGAAAUGAUGACAAAAUGUUUAAGAAUUAUCUAGUGAGCAGCACUGUCCCAGGGCCUGGAGAUGAGGAAUGAAGCAGACACUGACCCCGCCUCCUGGAGACCAACGCCUUCAGCCAUUAAGAGGCCUUCCACUGGUUUAAAUGAUCGACCAUCACUGAACAGUAUCAGUCACGUCAAGCGGUCCAAGCUCACAAGACAGUCUUCAUCGAGCACUCUAUUCCUGCAAGCCAACACCAAAUUUGGGCCCGGUUCUUUUGUAAGCACGGAGGAGAGACGCUGGAGACCAUCCAGAACCAGGCUCUGUGAAACGAAGCCCAAGGCCAAAGAACCACUCCACACAAUCGAGCAGAGAGAAAAGGAGGCCCCUGAUGGCACUUUGAGUUUUCACUUCAACAUUUCACAUCCCAGUCCUGAGCUGUUCCUGACAAUGAAGCCAAGACCACGACAUCUCUGAUUCUUCACAGGCGUCUCCAAGCUACAGAAUUUCAGAAGAACCUAAGUGUACUGGAGCCAAGGCCACAGGGGAAUUUGAGCACAAUGUCCCUCCAUGCCUGGUUAGACCUUAUCCUCUCCAUUAGCUCGGCUUCCUCAUUCUUAAGACAACUGUACCUGGGACUUCUCUGGAGUCCAGUGGGUUGAGACUUGGCCUUCCAAUGCAGGGGGUGUGGGUUUGAUCCCUGGUCAGGGAACUAAGACCCCACGUGCCGCAGGGUGCAGCCAAAAAUUUAAAAAUACUACAUUAUAAAUCAACAUUAAAAAUGAAAAAAAGACAACUGUAACUAACUGUUAAAGCUGUAGCCUCUGUGAUACCUGCGUAUCGCAUAUAGGCUUUACCCUCUGAAACUUCAUUCUAUCUGAUUCUCUCCUUUCCUUUAUUCAUUCAAUACCUGUUUUUGUGCUACUGAGGCAUGGUGAAAAACUCAAGGUUGAAUCCCAUUGAGAGCCUGCUUUCAAAUAACUUAGUGUUACCUACCCAAGGGGAUCAGAAGAUGGCACAGAGGUCAGGAGUCACGAUUUGCUCAAAGUGGUGAGCUGUUAGGAAGUCACCAGAAAACAGCGACUCUUCGAAGGAGGGCAGGUUUGCUUCCGCUGUGGUGAUCCAACAUGGCUCCCAAGAGGAGCCUGCACCUGAGGAGUCCUCGAAGGAGCCCUGGGCUGAGAUCUGCAGAGGCUGAGGGUGGGCAUUCCAGUCUGAGCCAAGGAAGCUUGGAGCACCAUUGUCUUUCACUUUCUCCAGCCAGGUCAGCUCCUGAGGGAACUGGGAGAUGCCUCAGCGAUGCUGGUGGGUGUGCUCCAGGCACAAUUCCCCCACCACAGCUAGGUUAAAAAAAAAAAAGUUGAAAGCUGACACAGAUAGACAAAAAUAAAACAAAAAAUGACCUGGAUUUGAGGAGCUUUAAAAAGAAAGAUCUCUAAAACAAAAAAAAAAGGAGGUGCCGUGUAGUAUCG
ensembl:lncRNA